AAGACGAUACGAAGUGAAAAUCGGCCUCGAUUUUAAUUUUGUUUGUCCACAGAUUGGUUCCAUACGUCACAAUGUAUGACGUCACCACACAUGACGUCACUAAAGAUCUGAACGUUUAGAUCCAAUCACAGCAUAUGUGGCUGUGUUUGAGGAGGAAUGGCGCGCAUGCGCACUGCGUUCUACCCAUUAGUUUGGGUUGUCGUCACUUCUAGCCCAGUGUAGGCGCGGUUUAGCCGUGCAUUUGGUCUUGCAGCAAGGCCAUAGUUCGCUCCUGUUCCUUUAACGUUAAUAUCCCUUUACCAUCUAACCCCCUUAUCCUAUUAACCGCGUUAGACACAUUCCCAGCACUGUCACACGAAUGUUUAGCUUGCCGUGGUAAAUCAGUUAACGAGUCAGUUUAGUUAUGACGACAUGAUGACGUCACGUUGACAAUGAACGAAACAAGAAGACGCCACAUGCCCAUAGGGGUACAGGGGAAUGUAACCGGGUCCUGCAGACGGAGAGGACGAAGGGGAGUGGAUGGAACACAAGCUUCAGAACCAGUACGGUACAAAUGGUAGUACUGGUACAAGGUGAUGUCCAACAUAGGCGGCCAUGGGCGCGUGGCAUUUUUUAGGGGCGUCGCACUUUGUUGUAUUAUUUUUGUCGCUGGUUACCCACCAUGUGGUCCCCCUUUUGGGUCCCAGAUGGUGGGGUACCAGUAACGCGCUAGGCUAAACAACGCACGCACGCACUCGCACGCACGCGCUCGCAAAUACGCGCCGGAAGAUUAAAGACGAAGAAUAAAAGCAGAGACAAAGACAAAACUCCAUCGUCCAAUCCAAGAAGCAAAGGUAUCCUACCCACACAGGGGGUUCAUUAAUUAACUUAA